ACUCAAAUGAAUAGACGGGGACCCGCACAAGCAGUGGAGCAUGUGGUUUAAUUCGAAGAUACGCGAAGAACCUUACCGAGGCUUGACAUCCCAGGAAGUCGCUGGAAACAGCGAUGUGCCUUUUGGAACCUGGUGACAGGUGUUGCAUGGCCGUCGUCAGCUCGUGUCGUGAGAUGUUGGGUUAAGUCCCGCAACGAGCGCAACCCUUAUCAUUUGUUGGAUUUUUCAAGUGAGACUGCCCCGGCCAACGGGGAGGAAGGUGGGGAUGACGUCAGGUCCGCAUGGCCCUUACGCCUCGGGCCACACACGUGCUACAAUGGCCGGUACAACGGGUUGCUAAGUCGCAAGACGGAGCUAAUCCCAUCAAAACCGGUCUCAGUUCGGAUUGGAGGCUGCAACUCGCCUUCAUGAAGUCGGAAUUGCUAGUAAACGUGGGUCAGCAUACCACGUUGAAUACGUUCCCGGGUCUUGUACACACCGCCCGU
rnacentral:rRNA from 1 species